UUGGGGAGCAAACAGGAUUAGAUACCCUGGUAGUCCACGCCGUAAACGAUGAUCAUUAGUUGGUGGCAAAAGUCACUAGCACAGCUAACGCGUUAAAUGAUCCGCCUGAGUAGUAUGCUCGCAAGAGUGAAACUUAAAGGAAUUGACGGGAACCCGCACAAGCGGUGGAGCAUGUGGUUUAAUUUGAAGAUACGCGUAGAACCUUACCCACUCUUGACAUCCUCGCAAAACUAUAGAGAUAUAGCGGAGGUUAACAGAGUGACAGAUGGUGC
rnacentral:rRNA from 1 species